rnacentral:misc_RNA from 1 species
GUGUUUAUUGCUGUUUUACGAGUUAUUUAUGAUUGAAGUCAAACGAUUUAAACGUCAAACGAUUUUUUUACUUGAAGUAUGGCAAAUUUGAUGAUGAUGAGACAAGAAAUAGAUUAUUUAAGAAAAUCGCUUCAUACAGCAUUUAAGGAAAAAGAAGAACUGUGCCAAUUACUAUGCAAUAAACAAGAAGAUGUUUACGAACGAGAAAAAUUUAUAGCCGAGCAAUUGUCAAAUAUAAUUCGCGUAAUCGAAAAGAACAUAGAACAAACCGUAAUGGAAACAAACUGCUUUGUCUUUCGAAAAAAAAGACUCAAGAAAAAAUUAAGUUUACUAUGCCAACUUAGAAACCAAUUAAAAACUAUAUAUGCAGACGGUUUAACCUUAUCUAACAGUAAAAAUCAACAAGAAAUCGUUAAAAGUAAUACAAUAUCAAAUCAUAUGAUAGCAAUGGCAACAAACUCUUCUAAGUCCUAUUAUUGCUAAGGAAAAAAAGGAGAAUAUGAUGGCUUAAGUAGCAUGGCAUCAACUACAUCACUAAAAUACAAGGCGACAUUUAAAAAAAAGUAACAAUCAAAUAAUGCAAUUAAAAUAAAACAAAAGAUUUACAUCGGAAAAAAUUCGUAAGAUAAAAAUUUGCUGUGCAUGCGAAAAAACUUGAAUUUACUCGGAUCGUUUGUUUUUCUUUUUUUCUUCCUAUGAAUAAUACACAUUCGUUGUUAGUAUAUUAUUAAAUAUUGUUAGUAUAUUAUAAAAAUUGUUAGUGUAUAUUCGUUGUAGUAUAUUGUAAAAAAAAUGCAGUUAAGAUGGUAAUGCGGUUCCAAAAAAAUAAUAAA